GAUGAAGAACGUAGUGAAAUGCGAUAAGUAAUGUGAAUUGCAGAAUUCAGUGAAUCAUCGAAUCUUUGAACGCACAUUGCGCCCGCCAGUAUUCUGGCGGGCAUGCCUGUUCGAGCGUCAUUUCAACCAUCAAGCCCCCGGCUUGUGUUGGGGACCUGCGGCUGCCGCAGGCCCUGAAAAGCAGUGGCGGGCUCGCUGUCACACCGAGCGUAGUAGCAUACAUCUCGCUCUGGGCGUGCUGCGGGUUCCGGCCGUUAAACCACCUUCAUAACCCAAGGUUGACCUCGGAUCAGGUAGGAAGACCCGCUGAACUUAAGCAUAUCAAUGCGGAGGA
rnacentral:misc_RNA from 1 species